rnacentral:rRNA from 1 species
CUUUGGGUCCGAAACCUUAAGCCCCGCCCCCCCGUGAGGAAGAGGGCUUCGGGUGGUAAACAUCUUCGGGAAUAAAACGAGAGUGACGGUCCCUGCAGAAAAAGCGCCGCUUAAUUACGUGCCACCAGCCGCGGUAAUACGUAGGGCGCAAGCGUUGUCCGGAAUUUUUGGGCGUAAAGAGCUCGUAGGCGGUUUGUCGCGCUGCUUGUGAAAGCCCGGGGUCCACCCCCGGGUCUGCGGUGGGUACGGGCAGACUAAAUGGCAUUAGGGAAGACUGAAUUUCCUGGUGUAGCGGUGAAUUGCCAAAUAUUCAGGAGGAAACCCGAUGGCAAGGGCGGGUCUUGGGGUUGUUACUGACGUUAAGGAGCAAAAGCUGGGGGAGCGAACAGGAUUAAAUACCCC